GACGAACGCUGGCGGCAUGCCUAAUACAUGCAAGUCGAGCGCCCCGCAAGGGGAGCGGCAGACGGGUGAGUAACGCGUGGGAAUCUACCCAUCCCUACGGAAUAGCUCCGGGAAACUGGAAUUAAUACCGUAUACGCCCUACGGGGGAAAGAUUUAUCGGGGAUGGAUGAGCCCGCGUUGGAUUAGCUAGUUGGUGGGGUAAAGGCCUACCAAGGCGACGAUCCAUAGCUGGUCUGAGAGGAUGAUCAGCCACAUUGGGACUGAGACACGGCCCAAACUCCUACGGGAGGCAGCAGUGGGGAAUAUUGGACAAGGGGGGCAACCCUGAUCCAGCCAUGCCGCGUGAGUGAUGAAGGCCUUAGGGUUGUAAAGCUCUUUCACCGGGGAAGAUAAUGACGGUACCCGGAGUAGAAGCCCCGGCUAACUUCGUGCCAGCCGCCGCAGUAA
rnacentral:rRNA from 1 species